GCAUAACGCGAAGAACCUUACCAAGUCUUGACAUCCCAAUGACCAGCAGAGUAACGUCUGCCUCCCUUCGGGGCAUUGGUGACAGGUGGUGCAUGGUUGUCGUCAGCUCGUGUCGUGAGAUGUUGGGUUAAGUCCCGCAACGAGCGCAACCCUUGUCCUUAGUUACCAGCACGUUAUGGUGGGCACUCUAAGGAGACUGCCGGUGACAAACCGGAGGAAGGUGGGGAUGACGUCAAGUCAUCAUGGCCCUUACGGCCUGGGCUACACACGUGCUACAAUGGUCGGUACAGAGGGUUGCCAAGCCGCGAGGUGGAGCUAAUCUCACAAAACCGAUCGUAGUCCGGAUCGCAGUCUGCAACUCGACUGCGUGAAGUCGGAAUCGCUAGUAAUCGCGAAUCAGAAUGUCGCGGUGAAUACGUUCCCGGGUCUUGUACACACCG
rnacentral:rRNA from 1 species